CAAGGGACACUGGUCUUGCAGACAGAAGCCAAGCACAAAAAUGGGAGGCCCCUGAAAUACUGACCUACACCCAACUUUUGUAAUGUGAUGUGGAGGUCCCGACUGUCAAAGCCGGUUGUAGGCUCUUCUGUUCCUUAUAGCAGGGAGGAUCCCUCCACAGAGUCCUGAGCACACCGUGCACCGCCUGGGGUCUCUCCCACCUCAGGAGCAAGUCUCACUGCCAGGGGCUGGGAGGAAGCAACAUGCUCUCCUUGUUUUGCUCCUGCUGUGUCUCCUCUGUUGUUCCUCUUCCAUCCACACCUUUACCCACCUUGAAGACAACACUGCCUUCUUGGUUGGCCUUUCUGGGGCCCAGGAAUAGAGCUGACUAAGUGUCCCUCUCCCCCUUCCUGGGAGCAUGGCCUGGGCCUGAUUUGUUAGGCCUCCUUGCAGAGACUGGCUCAGGCCCUGGCACUUAACUUGUCCCCAGGAAUUGCUUAUUAAGAGCCCUAGUCAACAUGCGCGUGAUGAGAUGAACUCAACCUUGUCAGCAGGUGGGAGAAGUUUGAGCCGGAGCAUCUACUCCUCAGGCCUUAAGGGAUUUUAUCCCUAUGCUGCCCCCCUGAGUUCAAAGAAGCAGCAGGGCAGCUCAGACUCAGUGGAGCCUUGAGCCCAAGCGCGGUGAGGCUGUGGUGUCAACUCCAUCAUACAGACCAGGAAAUGGGGUCCCAGGAGAGUCAAAGUCACCCAGCAGCUUCUGUGACUCUGACCCUCCCGGCUCCUUUUAUAAUGACUGUGAUUCCAUCAGGCCCAUGCUGUCUAGUCUCCAUCACAAGAUUCUUAAUUGAAGGACAUCUGCAGAGUCUCUUCAGCUGUAUAAAGCCACCUGCUCAGGAAUUCUGGGAAUUAUGGUGUUGACACUUCUGAUACCACUGUGCUGCCUCCCACAGGGAUGAUCACGCACAUUUUGAAGGUUGUGAGGGGGGAGGGUUCAUGACACAUGGUCUACUAAUUUGUUGGGAUACCUUUUCUUAGUCCCCAUUCACAAGUGGGAAGAUCCCACUCUGAGUCUGGACCCCAUGCCCUGGUUCUGUGUCCCAGGGCACAUGGUGAACUGUUAACGCCUGUUCCCCUCCUGGGUUUUUAAGUCCCACCCUUCAUC
ensembl:lncRNA